UAAGGAAUAUUGGUCAAUGGACGCAAGUCUGAACCAGCCAUGCCGCGUGAAGGAUGAAGGUCCUCUGGAUUGUAAACUUCUUUUAUCUGGGACGAAAACGGGAUUUUUAUCUCAAUUGACGGUACCAGAGGAAUAAGCACCGGCUAACUCCGUGCCAGCAGCCGCGGUAAUACGGAGGAUGCGAGCGUUAUCCGGAUUUACUGGGUUUAAAGGGGGCGUAGGUGGGCUUAUAAGUCAGUGGUGAAAUCUCCGAGCUUAACUUGGAAACUGCCGUUGAUACUAUAGGUCUUGAAUUAUCUGGAGGUAAGCGGAAUAUGUCAUGUAGCGGUGAAAUGCUUAGAUAUGACAUAGAACACCAAUUGCGAAGGCAGCUUACUACAUAUAAAUUGACGCUGAGGCACGAAAGCGUGGGGAUCAAACA
rnacentral:rRNA from 1 species